rnacentral:rRNA from 1 species
CCUACGGGGGGCAGCAGUGGGGAAUAUUGCACAAUGGGGGAAACCCUGAUGCAGCGACGCCGCGUGAGUGAAGAAGUAUUUCGGUAUGUAAAGCUCUAUCAGCAGGGAAGAAAAUGACGGUACCUGACCAAGAAGCCCCGGCUAACUACGUGCCAGCAGCCGCGGUAAUACGUAGGGGGCAAGCGUUAUCCGGAUUUACUGGGUGUAAAGGGAGCGUAGACGGCUGAGCAAGUCAGAAGUGAAAGCCCGGGGCUCAACCCCGGGACUGCUUUUGAAACUGCGGAGCUGGAGUGCAGGAGAGGUAA